CUUUACUGUAACUUGUCAUUGCGUUAGGACGCUGUCUGUGUAGGAUAGCUGGGAGGCGUUGAAGCUUGAGCGCUAGCUUAGGUGGAGCCAACGGUGAAAUACCAGCCUGAGAGCAUCUUGACCCUAACCGUUGAGCAAGCAACGGGACCGUGGCAGGCGGGCAGUUUGACUGGGGCGGUCGCCUCCUAAAGAGUAACGGAGGCGCCCAAAGGUUCCCUCAGGUGGAAUGGAAACCCACCGGCGAGUGUACAGGCACAAGGGAGCUUGACUGUGAGGCAAACACGCCAAGCAGAGACGAAAGUCGGGCUGAGUGAUCCUACGGCACAAUGUGGAAUGGCCGUGGCUUACCGGACAAAAGCUA
rnacentral:rRNA from 1 species